rnacentral:rRNA from 1 species
UACGUAGGGUGCAAGCGUUAAUCGGAAUACUGGGCGUAAAGCGUGCGCAGGCGGUUAUGUAAGACAGAUGUGAAAUGCCCGGGCUUAACCUGGGAACUGCAUUUGUGACUGCAUGGCUAGAGUUUGGCAGAGGGGGGUAGAAUUCCACGUGUAGCAGUGAAAUGCGUAGAUAUGUGGAGGAACACCGAUGGCGAAGGCAGCCCCCUGGGUCAAGACUGACGCUCAUGCACGAAAGCGUGGGGAGCAAACGAGG